rnacentral:rRNA from 1 species
AUUGAACGCUGGCGGCAGGCCUAACACAUGCAAGUCGAGCGAGCGGCGGACGGGUGAGUAAUGUCUGGGAACCUGCCUGACGGAGGGGGAUAACUACUGGAAACGGUAGCUAAUACCGCAUACCAUCAGAUGUGCCCAGAUGGGAUUAGCUAUUAGGUGGGGUAAUGGCUCACCUAGGCGACGAUCCCUAGCUGGUCUGAGAGGAUGACCAGCCAAACGGGAACUGGUCAACGGUCCAGACUCCUACGGGAGGCAGCAGUGGGGAAUAUUGGACAAGGGGCGCAAGACUGAUGAAGCCAUGCCGGGGGUGUGAAGAAGGCCUUCGGGUUGUAAAGCACUUUCAGCGGGGAGGCGUUACCCGCAGAAGAAGCACCGGCUAACUCCGUGCCAGCAGCCGCGGUAAUAC